GACUAGAAUGGUCGCUAAUACCCCAUAUGCCUAUGGGUGAAAUGAGUUUUGCCUGAAGAUGANCUCGCGUCAGAUUAGCUAGUUGGUGAGGUAACGGCUCACCAAGGCGACGAUCUGUAGCUGGUCUGAGAGGAUGAUCAGCCACACUGGGACUGAGACACGGCCCAGACUCCUACGGGAGGCAGCAGUGGGGAAUUUUCCGCAAUGGGCGAAAGCCUGACGGAGCAAGACCGCGUGAGGGAUGACGGCCUAAUGGUUGUAAACCUCUUUUAUUCGGGAAGAUAAUGACGGUACCGAAUGAAUCAGCCUCGGCUAACUCCGUGCCAGCAGCCGCGGUAAUACGGAGGAGGCAAGCGUUAUCCGGAAUUAUUGGGCGUAAAGCGUCCGUAGGUGGUUAUACAAGUCAGCUGUUAAAGAGUGGUGCUUAACACCAUAAAGGCGGUUGAAACUGUAGGACUAGAGUUUGGUAGGGGUUGCGGGAAUUCCCAGUGUAGCGGUGAAAUGCGUAGAUAUUGGGAAGAACACCGGUGGCGAAAGCGCGCGACUGGACCUGAACUGACACUGAGGGACGAAAGCUAGGGGAGCGAAAGGGAUUANAUACCCCUGUAGUCA
rnacentral:rRNA from 1 species